rnacentral:rRNA from 1 species
AUUGAACGCUGGCGGCAUGCUUUACACAUGCAAGUCGAACGGUAACAGGCCUUCGGGUGCUGACGAGUGGCGAACGGGUGAGUAAUGCAUCGGAACGUACCCAGAGGUGGGGGAUAACGCAGCGAAAGCUGUGCUAAUACCGCAUGUGAUCUGAGGAUGAAAGCGGGGGACCGAGCAGCAAUGUUUGGCCUCGCGCCUUUGGAGCGGCCGAUGUCGGAUUAGCUAGUUGGUGGGGUAAAGGCCUACCAAGGCGACGAUCCGUAGCUGGUCUGAGAGGACGACCAGCCACACUGGGACUGAGACACGGCCCAGAUUCCUACGGGAGGAAGAAGUGGGGAAUUUUGGACCAUGGGCGCAAGCCUGAUCCAGCAAUGCCGAGUGCGGGAAGAAGGCCUUGGGGUUGUAAAACGACUUUGGCAGGAACGAAACGGUGUCCGCUAAUACCGGGCGCUAAUGACGGUACCUGCAGAAUAAGCACCGGCUAACUACGUG